GGCCGCCUGGCGAAAUGGCAUCGCGUCUGACUACGAGAGGCGAGCGGAUCUUACCCAAUCGCAUGUAAUCAGGAGAUUGCAGGUUCGACCCCUGCGGUGGUCA
rfam:Stereum hirsutum FP-91666 SS1 unplaced genomic scaffold STEHIscaffold_3, whole genome shotgun sequence.